UCUCUCUGGGGCUGUGCUCCCUUCUUAGGCGCUGCUUUGGGAAAAGCUCCACAGAACGUCCUCACCUGGGGCUCUGGUGAGGGAGCAGAGCUGGCCUGCCCUGGGGGCGGCCUCACUUCGGCCUUCUCCUUACACAUUCCUGCCUAGAGGAUGGUGAGGAAUCCCAGAAGUUGUGAGGGGCAAUUCCCGUUUUCCCCACUCGGCUGAGGAAGCACCUUGAGGAGGGGGCAGCCAUAGGAUGGAGCCUGCAUAGUAUUAUUUCAAUGAAAAAUUCAAGAUGCCAUGGCACAAGACAAAUGCCACUUAUGCAGCUGAAGUCAGAUGUAAGAGGUCAGCCUCUAGGAAUCUCCUGAAAAAAGCAAAGUGACAUUAGAGAUGAGUUAAUGUGCAUCAUCCUCUGUCAGAGCUCCAUUGGAAAUAUGAAGCACACCAGCACACUCAGCAGCUCCAGUGAUCUUGGUGGUGAUCAGUGGCCAAGGUCUUCUGUCUGUGUCUACCCACAGAAGGGGGACUCUGCAUCUUCCCAAAUAAUCCAGUUCCAGGACAAAGUUGUAUCUCUGACAGGAGUCUGUCAUGGUUCUAUUAAAGGUUCAUAGAAGUUGAGAUGCUUCAAGGGAACCUGCUGUGAUGGCAGCCAAGGAAGGUUUCUCAUCAAACCUGCUUUGCUGCAGUGUUUCAUACUGGGGAGCUUCACUUGUGUGCGUUCUGUUACUGUACACAUGAAACUUUUUGGGGCAAGGACCCUUCAGAUGUAUGAUUUUGGUGCAUGAUGGUGUCAGUUCUGCACAACAUAAUAUGAUAAUGAAAACAAUGAAGAGUGGUAUGAAAAACAGGAGGAGAAAAUGCUAUACAUGUUAUUAGAGAUGUGACUCAAAACCCUGUCAAAUUCUAAUGUUUCCCUUGUGCUGCUGUUUUCUGGGUCUAUGUGGGUAGUGCUUUCCUAUGGAUUUGUUGAGGCACUUGAAAUAACUCAGCACAAUUCUCAGCACUGCUGGGGCUGGUUUAAGUUUAUACCAUUCAUGUAGGAUGUUUUUUGCUAGUCAAAAGCAAGCAUGUGUUGCAUGACUGUCUCCAUGAAAACUCCUAAAACUCACCAAGUGCCACAUCUGAAUUUCAGCCAAGGCUUCAGUGCAAGAAACAAAAGGGGUGUAGGUUACCAUUUGCCUACAGCAUGAAAACCCCCACCUGCCAAACCACUGUGCUUAGUUUUAUACAAAACUUUGUUCCUGCUGAGUGUUUUUAUGCCAGAUGUUCCCUGUGGUUGAGCAUACAGGCUCUAUCUUCUCACAAUUGCAUCAGAGCAAAUGAGCUAUGACACUGCUUGCCUAUUUUUAAGUAAGUUCAAUGUUGUCCAUCUAAUGAAUGCUAAGGCAUACUCUGCCUGUGGGAAAUGCAGGCUUUGCAUGGUAGAACAGUUAGGGAGAAGCUUUGUAUGUUUUAUAUUUUAAAAAGCCAAGCAAAACUCAAGCCCUACCAAAUAAAUAUGUGUCCUGAAAGUUGCAAUAAACAGCCACUGUUUCACUC